AACGAACGCUGGCGGCAUGCCUAACACAUGCAAGUCGAACGAGGCCUUCGGGUCUAGUGGCGCACGGGUGCGUAACGCGUGGGAACCUGCCCUUAGGUUCGGAAUAACUCCCCGAAAGGGGUGCUAAUACCGGAUAAUGUCUUCGGACCAAAGAUUUAUCGCCUUUGGAUGGGCCCGCGUUGGAUUAGCUAGUUGGUAGGGUAAAAGCCUACCAAGGCGACGAUCCAUAGCUGGUCUGAGAGGAUGGUCAGCCACACUGGGACUGAGACACGGCCCAGACUCCUACGGGAGGCAGCAGUGGGGAAUAUUGGACAAUGGGCGAAAGCCUGAUCCAGCAAUGCCGCGUGAGUGAUGAAGGCCUUAGGGUUGUAAAGCUCUUUUACCCGGGAUGAUAAUGACAGUACCGGGAGAAUAAGCUCCGGCUAACUCCGUG
rnacentral:rRNA from 1 species